AAUGAAGUGGCUGAAAAUAGCGAUAGACUGUAAAUUUAUUUAUGAUUUUAAAAAUCCUUCAUUA
rnacentral:tRNA from 1 species